rnacentral:rRNA from 1 species
GAUUCGUCACACUAUCAUUAACUGAAUCCAUAGGUUAAUGAGGCGAACCGGGGGAACUGAAACAUCUAAGUACCCCGAGGAAAAGAAAUCAACCGAGAUUCCCCCAGUAGCGGCGAGCGAACGGGGAGGAGCCCAGAGCCUGAAUCAGCAUGUGUGUUAGUGGAAGCGUCUGGAAAGGCGCGCGAUACAGGGUGACAGCCCCGUACACAAAAGCGCAUGUGCUGUGAGCUCGAUGAGUAGGGCGGGACACGUGGUAUCCUGUCUGAAUAUGGGGGGACCAUCCUCCAAGGCUAAAUACUCCUGACUGACCGAUAGUGAACCAGUACCGUGAGGGAAAGGCGAAAAGAACCCCGGCGAGGGGAGUGAAAAAGAACCUGAAACCGUGUACGUACAAGCAGUGGGAGCACCCUUCGGGGUGUGACUGCGUACCUUUUGUAUAAUGGGUCAGCGACUUAUAUUCUGUAGCAAGGUUAACCGUAUAGGGGAGCCGGAGGGAAACCGAGUCUUAAUUGGGCGUUAAGUUGCAGGGUAUAGACCCGAAACCCGGUGAUCUAGCCAUGGGCAGGUUGAAGGUUGGGUAACACUAACUGGAGGACCGAACCGACUAAUGUUGAAAAAUUAGCGGAUGACCUGUGGCUGGGGGUGAAAGGCCAAUCAAACCGGGAGAUAGCUGGUUCUCCCCGAAAGCUAUUUAGGUAGCGCCUCGUGAAUUCAUCUCCGGGGGUAGAGCACUGUUUCGGCUAGGGGGCCAUCCCGGCUUACCAACCCGAUGCAAACUGCGAAUACCGGAGAAUGUUAUCACGGGAGACACACGGCGGGUGCUAACGUCCGUCGUGAAGAGGGAAACAACCCAGACCGCCAGCUAAGGUCCCAAAGUCAUGGUUAAGUGGGAAACGAUGUGGGAAGGCCCAGACAGCCAGGAUGUUGGCUUAGAAGCAGCCAUCAUUUAAAGAAAGCGUAAUAGCUCACUGGUCGAGUCGGCCUGCGCGGAAGAUGUAACGGGGCUAAACCAUGCACCGAAGCUGCGGCAGCGAACGUAUCACCCAAGACAACUUUACGGAGUUGACGAUUGACGGAGCGAAGCGACGUCAAAGCGUUCAUUAAAGUCGAGUUGGCUUAGGGAUACGUUCGUUGGGUAGGGGAGCGUUCUGUAAGCCUGUGAAGGUGUGUCGUGAGGCAUGCUGGAGGUAUCAGAAGUGCGAAUGCUGACAUAAGUAACGAUAAAGCGGGUGAAAAGCCCGCUCGCCGGAAGACCAAGGGUUCCUGUCCAACGUUAAUCGGGGCAGGGUGAGUCGACCCCUAAGGCGAGGCCGAAAGGCGUAGUCGAUGGGAAACGGGUUAAUAUUCCCGUACUUGGUGUUACUGCGAAGGGGGGACGGAGAAGGCUAUGUUGGCCGGGCGACGGUUGUCCCGGUUUAAGCGUGUAGGUGUGUGUUCCAGGUAAAUCCGGUUCACUUUAACACUGAGGCGUGACGACGAGGCACUACGGUGCUGAAGCAACAAAUGCCCUGCUUCCAGGAAAAGCCUCUAAGCAUCAGGUAACAUCAAAUCGUACCCCAAACCGACACAGGUGGUCAGGUAGAGAAUACCAAGGCGCUUGAGAGAACUCGGGUGAAGGAACUAGGCAAAAUGGUGCCGUAACUUCGGGAGAAGGCACGCUGACACGUAGGUGAAGUGAUUUACUCAUGGAGCUGAAGUCAGUCGAAGAUACCAGCUGGCUGCAACUGUUUAUUAAAAACACAGCACUGUGCAAACACGAAAGUGGACGUAUACGGUGUGACGCCUGCCCGGUGCCGGAAGGUUAAUUGAUGGGGUCAGCGCAAGCGAAGCUCCUGAUCGAAGCCCCGGUAAACGGCGGCCGUAACUAUAACGGUCCUAAGGUAGCGAAAUUCCUUGUCGGGUAAGUUCCGACCUGCACGAAUGGCGUAAUGAUGGCCAGGCUGUCUCCACCCGAGACUCAGUGAAAUUGAACUCGCUGUGAAGAUGCAGUGUACCCGCGGCAAGACGGAAAGACCCCGUGAACCUUUACUAUAGCUUGACACUGAACAUUGAGCCUUGAUGUGUAGGAUAGGUGGGAGGCUUUGAAGUGUGGACGCCAGUCUGCAUGGAGCCGACCUUGAAAUACCACCCUUUAAUGUUUGAUGUUCUAACGUGGACCCGUAAUCCGGGUUGCGGACAGUGUCUGGUGGGUAGUUUGACUGGGGCGGUCUCCUCCUAAAGAGUAACGGAGGAGCACGAAGGUUGGCUAAUCCUGGUCGGACAUCAGGAGGUUAGUGCAAUGGCAUAAGCCAGCUUGACUGCGAGCGUGACGGCGCGAGCAGGUGCGAAAGCAGGUCAUAGUGAUCCGGUGGUUCUGAAUGGAAGGGCCAUCGCUCAACGGAUAAAAGGUACUCCGGGGAUAACAGGCUGAUACCGCCCAAGAGUUCAUAUCGACGGCGGUGUUUGGCACCUCGAUGUCGGCUCAUCACAUCCUGGGGCUGAAGUAGGUCCCAAGGGUAUGGCUGUUCGCCAUUUAAAGUGGUACGCGAGCUGGGUUUAGAACGUCGUGAGACAGUUCGGUCCCUAUCUGCCGUGGGCGCUGGAGAACUGAGGGGGGCUGCUCCUAGUACGAGAGGACCGGAGUGGACGCAUCACUGGUGUUCGGGUUGUCAUGCCAAUGGCACUGCCCGGUAGCUAAAUGCGGAAGAGAUAAGUGCUGAAAGCAUCUAAGCACGAAACUUGCCCCGAGAUGAGUUCUCCCUGAGACUUAGAGUCUCCUGAAGGAACGUUGAAGACGAC